CAACCUUAAAAAAAUUGCAAGAAUAAUUUAAAUAACACUUUGCUGAGCCAUGUGACAGCAAAGGACCAACAAAAUGCCUCAUCACCCCGGAAUACUUUAGCAUAGAUCAAAGACUUUCUAUUACAGAACCACAAUACAAUAAUCUCGGAAAUUGAUAUUGAUAUGUUACUAACAUCUAAACCUUAGAUUCCAUUCACUUUUUGCCAGUAGUUUCAAUAUGGUACUUUAUAAGAAAAUAACCAGUCCAGAAUUAUGUACAGCAUUUAGUUGUCAUCUUAUUGAACUCUGUCAUUGUGGAGCAUUUCUUUAGUCCUUCCUUGACUUCAGAACCAUGACAUUCUUAAAGAUAUUACAGGACUGUCAUUUGGCAGAAUGUCUCUCCACUGAGUUUAUCACGUGUUUCCUCAUGAUUAGAAGAUUAAAGUUAUGCAAGUUGGGCAUGUAUGUCACAAAGUGACUCUGAACUCUUUCAUCCCAUCAGGGGACACGCAACCAGCACUUAUUCCACCAUUUUCUGAGGAAAAACAUAGGACUAUGACACAAAGUCUCACCCUUGUCUCACGUGGAGGGGAGUAAGCCAGUGCUAUUCCCUAUCUGAGCUUGGAAUGUGCAAGACAUCAAAGGGAUUGAUGGUGAGUAGUUACAAAGUUGUUGCUGUAGGGAGAGAGGAAAAGAGGGGAUGGGUCAUAUUACUAAAAUGAAGAACUGUAGGAAUUCAAGGAGAAGUUAGGGCAAUUUAAUACAUGAGCUAUCUAUAGUACACUCUCAAUAGGUAUCUCUGAGAGUAACAAGAAAGGUCUUGCAGCGAGAGGCCCUUGUGUGAUACAAAGGGACAAAAUAAUUUGAUCAGGGGUUCAAAACUCAAUCACUCACUCCUCUCCCACUACCACCACCCAACUCUUUAUGUCACAAUUACUCAAAUACCUUCAAUGAACAAUUGCCUAAAUCUUCUUCUGGGCUAAAUAUGGAGAUGCUCCCAGUGACUGAGAGGUAGACCUGUGUUCUUACCUCCGUCCUGGUAAUGGAGAAGUGGCAGCUGCACCCUCCUGUGAGAUGACUGGGUGAGAAGUCUUUAUAUUCACAGCUGGAGAAGCAGCCAGGUGGAACUUCUG
rnacentral:lncRNA from 1 species